GACAGAGGGUGCAAGCGUUGUUCGAAAUCACUGGGCGUAAAGGGCACGUAGGCGGCGAAGUAUGUCUGAUGUGAAAGACCUUGGCUCAACCAGGGAAGUGCAUUGGAAACUACUUUGCUAGAGUGUGAGAGAGGAUGGUGGAAUUCCCAGAGUAGAGGUGAAAUUCGUAGAUACUGGGAGGAACACCUGAGGCGAAGGCGGCCAUCUGGAUCAUAACUGACGCUGAGGUGCGAAAGCAUGGGUAGCAAACAGG
rnacentral:rRNA from 1 species